rnacentral:rRNA from 1 species
AUUAAAAAUAAUCUAUUAUUAACCGUUCUUACCCUAGUCUCCACCCGUCUCACAAAAUAGUGUCCUUCCUCCAGCAGUACUAAUCCAACCACGAAGGGGGACGGUUAACACGGCAGUCAUUCCAUGUCUUUUUUAAGAUAGAUAGCU